UACGUAGGGGGCAAGCGUUGUCCGGAUUCAUUGGGCGUAAAGAGCGUGUAGGCGGCCAGGUAGGUCGGUUGUGAAAACUGGAGGCUCAACCUUCAGAGGUCGACCGAAACCAUCUGGCUAGAGUCCGGGAGAGGAGAGUGGAAUUCCUGGUGUAGCGGUGAAAUGCGCAGAUAUCGGGAAGAACACCUAUGGCGAAGGCAGCUCUCUGGGACGGUACUGACGCUGAGACGCGAAAGCGUGGGGAGCGAACAGG
rnacentral:rRNA from 1 species